rnacentral:lncRNA from 1 species
AGGGCCUAUGUCUUGCUGAUGAAGGAUCUAAAAUGCCACAGCAAAGAAGGUGUGUGUGUGUGUGUGUGUGUGUGUGAUCUAGAAAGAUUCCUCUGAGGCAUGGUUGAUGCUGGACAAGAAUGAGGUACUUGGGGCCGGUGCCGUGGCUCACUUGGCUAAUCCUCCACCUGCGUCGCCAGCAUUCCAUAUGGGUGCCGGGUUCUAGUCCCGGCUGCUCCUCUUCCAGUCCAGCUCUCUGCUGUGGAGGGCAGUGGAGGAUGGUCCAGGUGAUUGGUCCAGGUGAUUCCACCCGCAUGGGAGACCAGGAGGAAGCACCUGGCUCCUGGCUUCAGAUAGGCGUUGUUCUGGCCGUUGCGGCCAUUUGGGGAGUGAACCAAUGGAAGGAAGACCUUUCUCUCUGUCUCUCUCUCUCACUGUCUGACUCUACCUGUCAAAUAAGUAAAAAAAAUUAACUAAUUAAUUAAAAAAAAAAAAGAAUGAGGUACUUGAGGCCAGCCUUGUGGCACAGUAAGUUGCUGCCUGGGACACCAGCAACCCAUAUCCCAUAUCCGAGUAUUGGUUGGAGCCCCAGCUGCUCCCCUUCUGAUCCAGCUCCCUGUAAAAUGUGUCUCAGAUGAUGGCCCAAGUAUAUGGGUCCCUGUCACCCACGUGGAAGACCCAGAUACUGUUCUUGUUCCUGGCUUUGGCCUGGGCCAGUCCUGCCAUUGUGGGCAUUUGGGGCAUGAAUCCACAGAUGGGAGAUAUAUAUCUCUCUCACACAUACACAGAGAGAGAGAGAGAGAGAGAGUCUUUCUAAUAAACCAAUAAAUAAAAAUCUUUAAAAAAAAUAAGGUGCUGGAGGCAGUUAGAUGGUAAGUGGAGUUUCCAACAGGGCAGGUAGGUAUACAGCCACAUUUGGCGGUUGGUCACAGACGGGAGAGGGGAGAUUUCCAAGGCGAAAUGUCCUAGUCACAGGCCCCCUAAGUCCCCAAACUUCAGGGCAGAACCUCUGUGUGAGGAACUCCCCCGUCUCCCUCUUGAUUUCACAGCCACCUCUGCUGGCGCCCUCUCUCCUCGCCGCCGCCGCCAGCCCCCGCCUCUUUGCUCAGGAAGCUCGGGUCUCCCAGGGAGCGGGUCUGCCCUUGGGGGAGGCCUCUCGGUUCUGUGCCUGCAGCUGGGCUGACAGUCGGGGCGCGCGGAAGAGGGGCUUGGCGCCCCCCGCCUGCACAUGUACUAGCCCAGGCAGGAGGAAGCGCCUCGGCGGAGGAACCGGGGAAGAGGGGGAGGCAGAGGCGCGCCAGCAUCUCGGUCCCGGGCGCCCUGGUCGGCCGCGGAGGAGCUGCAGCCUCCAACAGGAAGCUGUGUGUCUCUGA